rnacentral:rRNA from 1 species
AGCCAGACUCCUACGGGAGGCAGCAGUGGGGAAUAUUGCACAAUGGGGGAAACCCUGAUGCAGCAACGCCGCGUGAGUGAAGAAGUAUUUCGGUAUGUAAAGCUCUAUCAGCAGGGAAGAAGAUGACGGUACCUGAGUAAGAAGCCCCGGCUAACUACGUGCCAGCAGCCGCGGUAAUACGUAGGGGGCAAGCGUUAUCCGGAUUUACUGGGUGUAAAGGGAGCGUAGACGGCAUGGCAAGUCAGAUGUGAAAGCCCGGGGCUCAACCCCGGGACUGCAUUUGAAACUGUCAGGCUGGAGUGCAGGAGAGGUAAGUGGAAUUCCUAGUGUAGCGGUGAAAUGCGUAGAUAUUAGGAGGAACACCAGUGGCGAAGGCGGCUUACUGGACUGUAACUGACGUUGAGGCUCGAAAGCGUGGGGAGCAAACAGGAUUAGAUACCCCCGUAUA